AUCCAAUGUGAUAAUUUAUGUGAAAUCUUUCUGCAAACUGUAAAGUAUGAUAAAAAUAUAAGGUGGUUUUACUGGAAACAACUGAAGACUAGGAGCUGAUGUGACAUGGCAAUAUCAACCAGGAAUACCCAGCUUGGGUUCUGGAUAUGUCCUCUGAGAAGGUGCCCAUGUCACUGACUACACUGGAGGCCAAUGCAGAUACUGGAGGAAGGUUCCGUGGUAGCUAAGUGUGGACAAGCUAAUCACUGAAGUUCCCUGAUGUAGAGCUGAUAAUCUCUGGAGUUGGAUGGAAGACUGUGCUGCCUUGAAGCUCUGAGAGAUGCCAUGCCAAUUCAAGGCAAGGUCUUUAUUGUUGAAAUUCUUGCAUAAUGACUUCUUUAUUCAGGUGAAAAUACAGGAUGAAUUUCAACUGUAUGAUACUGUUUAUGUUCAUCAGACACAUUAUUUGUCUUUACAAAGACUGGUUUCAAUAAACUGGCUGUGUAACCGAUAUUAAAUAAACAUGGAAUUUUACACAUUCAUAA